UUUAACAGAAUUGUACAACAGUUGCAUCCAAUACAAUCAUACAUCAUCAAAGGCGUUGAAGUGACAGAGAAGUUUAUCAUAUAUGAUGACAUUACGUGCAAUGGCAAAAUAACUACAUGUUUCACAGAUUCCAAGGGAAAUUUAAAGAAGCCCCUGAAGCAGGUUUUUUCAUUGUCCCUGCAAUCACGAGGUGGUCUACCACUGUAGUCCAUGUUACUAUGAAAAGGUUCUCAGAAUCACUUCACUAAUUUAACUAACAACAAAAAUUCAACCAAAAACAUCAAAGUACUUUUCCCAAGGAAUAUGAAAACAACAGCGUUCACUUUCUGACUCUUCAAACGGUUAACACUUGGCGAAAAUUGAAGGCGUUGACAAAAUAGGUAGUUGAUAUGUUUAUGUUGAAAUUAACUUGGUAAAGUGAUAGACUUUUAUUAAUGAAUAAAAUAAAUAUAAGCACAA